GAGGGCGCAAUCUCGGCAAUACAGCCUUCCAAGCUGAAUACGAGGGUUCGAUUCCCUUCACCCGCUCCA
rnacentral:tRNA from 1 species